AUGGAAGUUCUGGAGGGCCGCCAGCGUACUGCUUCCGUGAGCAUUCCCAAUGGAUUUGCCAACAGGAUUUUCCAAGGGAGCAUGGAGGGAGGGAGCACUGAUGCCUUGGAGGCCUGUGGUGCUGAGCACUGCGCCUCCGGUGAUGCAAACCCCGGUGAGCAGGAGGAAACACACAGGUAUAAGAAAACAACCAAGGGCAGCCGGAUCUGGAAUUUCGUCAGACGAAGGAAAGGACUCUCUACGAAUAAAGACAGACCCCAGUCCAUGAUUCUGCUGGGAGUUGCCUCUGAGGUCUCAGAAUUAAAAAAGCCAUCCUUCAUGGACAGGGUACGCUCGUCAAAAAAGGGAAGAUCCUCCAGGACGCCCAAGAACGUGGAUUUGAGAGCACCCAGAGGGCAGGAUGUGUGUGACCCUGAGGAGGAGCUUCACUGCAGUGGGCAGAGAGCUGUCUACAGGGUGAAGAAGCUGGGGGACGGCCGGAGACCCUCCCGCCACUCCUACGCCGGCUACAUCGAGGACUUGGACUCUUCUUUUGAGGACAUAGAGCUGAACAUCAGCAUUCCUGAACUCGAUGCCACUGAAAGUAAAUGUCUCAGGGAUAUCAGUGGCAGAUUACACGGUGAGGAUAAUGAUGGACCAGCCAGGAAGAGCGAGUCUUUGAAUUUUGAGCACGUUAAGAGUCCUGCAAUUACAGAAGGGGACAAUCAAAAGAGGUGUGCUGUGCUCCCACAGGAGAGCAGGAGAGGAAGGAGCUCUGAUGUCUGGAGCUAUCUGAAAGGAAUUUCAUUAGCUAGCAAAGAUAAUUCAAAGCUCCCAGAUCAAAGGGCUGAAACCAAUUUCCAGAGUGUAGAAAAUACAACGGAUCAUUCCGCUUCUUACUUGGACUUUGAUACGAGAUGUGAGGAGAAUCUCAGCCAGCGAAAAAAACCAAACGGUGCCGCCAAAGCCACUCACUUUGGGGGCGUAGUGAGGUUCCUGAGCAGCGUGGCCGAGGCGGCUCGGCGGCUGCGGGGCUCCUCGAGGGCGUUCUCCCCCGACGAGAAGAGGCCUCAGCGCAGUUUCCGGGGCCGCAGGCAGGAUGUUGCCUCCCCCAAGGAGGGUUUGGUCAUCGAGAACGAGAGCGCCAAGGCCUUUUGCACGGUGGGAGCCUGUCUGCAGUCCCCGGAUUCCGGCACCUGGGAGAACCUGAGCUUUGAGAGUUUAGCGGGGAAGGAGAACUGCAGAACCGCGGAUGGGCUGAAAGGCCUUGGUUCCUCUGGUCUGGACAGUGGGAAUGACAGGCUGAAUGCAACCCCGUGUGCUCCCUCUGGGCCAGAACCACUCGUGUCCCAGCUGGCAGAGCUGGCAGAUGGAUCUUUCAUUGAGCUGAACAGCAAGGAUCCCUCUGAGGAUCUGCUUGAACUUCCACAGGCGACUCUGGCUGAACCAAUUCAGGACUUGGGCACGACUCCAGAGAAGACCCAGGUCAUGGCCGGGGACCUGCUGCCUUCCCAUGAUCUUCCUGUGAAUAGCUGGGAUUCUGGGGGCCUGGGCUGUUCUCCAGCUGUCAGUGGGGACUUUUCUGCAGAAACUGAAGUGCAGACCCACCUCCCACUGGCAUCGCCAGCUAAACUUGAUUCUGGGGACGUGGCUUGUGCCCCAGUGGUUGCUAAAGACAUGGAUCCAUCUCCAGCAGUUGCUCAGGAGCUUUCAGAGACAGAACUGGAUAAUCAGGACUUGAGAAAUCCUGAGCUGCCUUUGCAAAACUUGUCUGGAGGUGAGCUGGAGUUUCAAGACACUGGCAGUGCCCUGGAGAGGGUCGUGGGCAGGGACCUGCCACCUUCCCUUGAUCUUCCCGUCAAUGAUCUGGAUGCUGCAGAUCUGGGCUGUUCUCCAGCUGCUGAUGGUGCCUUUCCUGCAGCCACUGAGGCUCAGACCCACCUCCCACAGACAUCACCGACUGAACUUGAUACCGAGGACGUGGCUUGUGCCCCAGUGGUUGCUAAAGACAUGGAUCCAUCUCCAGCUGUGGCUCAGGAAAUUUCAAGGACAGAACUGGAUAAUCAGGGCUUGAGAAAUCCUGAGCUGCCUUUGCAAGACUUGUCGGGAGGUGAGCUGGGGAUUCAGGACUCAGGCAGUUCUCCAGAGACAUCACAGGUUGUGGGCAGGGAUGUGCCACCUUCUCCUCAUCUUCCUGGGAAUGAGCUGGGUGCUGUGGACUUGGACCAUUCCCCAGCUGCCAAUGGUGACUUCUCUGCAGCACCUGAGGCUCUGAUCCACCUUCCCCAGGCAGCUCUGAGUGAGGAGGUCCAGGACACUGUCAGUGGUCUGGAGAAGAGUCAGGUCAUGGGCAGGGCCCUGCCACCUUCUCCUGACAUUCCCGAGAACAUUCUGGAUGCUGCGGACAUGGGAUGUUCCGCAGUUGCCGACGUGGACUUUUCCAUAGUGACUUUUUUAAAGUGUUCCACAGUGAAAAGGCAGAGUUUGAAAGAGCCUGGUGGCCGCAAUAAAAAGCGGGGAACCGCUUCAUUUGUGGAACAAAACUCUGUGGAGGUCAUGGACAGAGUGGAAGAGUUUGAGUGCAGACCCUUCCAAGUGCACGUCUCAAGGAUCGUCUCUUCCGGACGCCUCAAAAAUGGAAAGGUAGGAGCAACUUUGUAA
rnacentral:lncRNA from 1 species